AACGAACGCUGGCGGCAUGCCUAACACAUGCAAGUCGAACGAUCCCUUCGGGGAUAGUGGCGCACGGGUGCGUAACGCGUGGGAACCUGCCCUUAGGUUCGGAAUAACUCAGAGAAAUUUGAGCUAAUACCGGAUAAUGUCUUCGGACCAAAGAUUUAUCGCCUUUGGAUGGGCCCGCGUUGGAUUAGCUAGUUGGUGGGGUAAAGGCCUACCAAGGCGACGAUCCAUAGCUGGUCUGAGAGGAUGAUCAGCCACACUGGGACUGAGACACGGCCCAGACUCCUACGGGAGGCAGCAGUGGGGAAUAUUGGACAAUGGGCGAAAGCCUUAUCCAGCAAUGCCGCGUGAGUGAUGAAGGCCUUAGGGUUGUAAAGCUCUUUUACCCGGGAUGAUAAUGACAGUACCGGGAGAAUAAGCCCCGGCUAACUCCGUG
rnacentral:rRNA from 1 species